rnacentral:lncRNA from 1 species
CCGCCAUUUUAGCCCCGGGGCGGCCCCGCCCGGGCAGCGGGGAGCGGCUGGAGUCAGGUUCGGGAAGCGCUGGGAAGACCGCGGGGACAGCGCCCUGCCCAGCCCCGGCAGCUCCGGCAACACCGCCCGGGGAGCUCCGGGACUCUGUGCGGACACCGCGCCGCCCCGCGCGGCUGCCGCUCGCUCCCCUGCAGCGUGCUCUUGCCCCCGUUCAGUCGCUAGAACUGAGCCCGCAAAAAUGUCCAUCAUAAUAAUGCACAGUAAUAAUUAUUAUUAUUAUUAUUAUUAAUAAUAAUAAUAGCACCACCUUCUGUGCAGUUAAAGACUCGGAUUUCCUUUCUUUAAGCACUACCAGACAGAUUAUUCGCCCUAAGUUGAUGCACGUGGUUUAAAGGGCAGUGGCGCGCAGGAGCCGCAGCUUAGCCCGAGCUCUUCACUCGUGUCAGGCGCUUCCAAACGCACUCGGUCCCAGCACAGCAAAGGCCGGGCACGGUGGGUGCUGGGUAUCAGCCGUGUCUCCCGACAGGUGCCACCACUUUGCCUCUCGGCUUCGCUUUCUGUCUGGUUACACCCAAAAAAUAAACCUGCCCCUCUCUUCUGAAGCAAAUCGCCUUAAAACGAACCCCUGGGCUAAUAAAGCACAUGAUGAAAUAGGGUUUUUUUCCAGGCACGGGAGCCCCGAAGAGCCCAAAGCAAGGCGGCUGUGUGUGCCUGUUGGGCUCCUCUGCUGGCCCAGGCUCUCCGAGCACACGGAGCAUUCCCUGGACGUGCAGGCGGUGCCAGCAUUCACCUCUCAGAGCUGAGCGCGCUGGGAUGCUCGCACGCUGCAGCACAGCCCCUCUCCACACAGACAAAUCCUCAUGUGCUGCCCUCGGACCCAGCCGGAUGUCUGUGUCCCCUAUUCCACUUCUGCAGGUACCCAGGGAGCAGUGUGCUUAUCACCAGUGCCAGCGAUGGCAUUCCAGUCUUCACACAAAACUUGGCAUAUACAGGGACAACAGGUCCCAGUGGGAGUGUGCCAACUGGGAGAUGUUGUGUCUGGGCCACUGACAGCCUAAAGGCUACAGUCUGCAGGCAGAGAGGACAUUUCUCAGGAAUUUAUUCACCCAGGAACUCUAAAUAA